GACGAACGCUGGCGGCGUGCCUAAUACAUGCAAGUAGAACGCUGAAGAGAGGAGCUUGCUCUUCUUGGAUGAGUUGCGAACGGGUGAGUAACGCGUAGGUAACCUGCCUUGUAGCGGGGGAUAACUAUUGGAAACGAUAGCUAAUACCGCAUAACAAUGGAUGACACAUGUCAUUUAUUUGAAAGGGGCAAUUGCUCCACUACAAGAUGGACCUGCGUUGUAUUAGCUAGUAGGUGAGGUAAUGGCUCACCUAGGCGACGAUACAUAGCCGACCUGAGAGGGUGAUCGGCCACACUGGGACUGAGACACGGCCCAGACUCCUACGGGAGGCAGCAGGAGGGAAUCUUCGGCAAUGGGGGCAACCCUGACCGAGCAACGCCGCGGGAGUGAAGAAGGUUUUCGGAUCGUAAAGCUCUGUUGUAAGUCAAGAACGGGUGUGAGAGUGGAAAGUUCACACUGUGACGGUAGCUUAACAGAAAGGGACGGCUAACUACGUG
rnacentral:rRNA from 1 species